rnacentral:misc_RNA from 1 species
UUUCCGUAGGAGAACCUGCGGAAGGAUCAUCCAUAAUAAAGUGUUUUAUGGCACUUUUUAAAAAUCCAUAUCCACCUUGUGUGCAAUGUUAGAUCUCGUCAAUCUUGGCGAGAUUUUUAUACAUCAACUCAUUCUUUAACUAAUUUGUCUGAAAAAUAUUAUGAAUACUUAAUUCAAAAUACAACUUUCAACAACGGAUCUCUUGGCUCUC